UAUAAACGAGUGCGUGGUGAGCCCAUGGAUCUGCGGGAGGAACUCGGCAUGUGUGAACCUGGAGGGCUCUUUUGACUGCAAGUGUUUAUCGGGCUAUGAGAUGGGACCAGGCGGCUGUCAAGAUAUUGAUGAGUGUUCCAGUAAACUGACCUGCUCUGAGGACACCUUCUGUGUGAACGACCCAGGGACGUACCAUUGUGUCUGCCGGGAGGGGUUCACAGGAGACGGCGUCACCUGUACAGAGAUCGUCACAACCAGCACACCUGCCAGCCUUACAAC